AAACCUGCUAUCUGUGUGGGUCUCUAUUCCAGCUUCACAUUUACACUGUCAGGAGACAUUCAGAUCUGGGGAAGAACACACGUGCCCUUUCCCAGUGGAUGCAGGGAGAAAAGUUCCUCCUAUCGCUUUGUGUUUAAUGUUAUGAAUCUGACUUCCUUGUCAACAUCAAGAUUCAUGACAGCAAACAGAGAGCUCAUGAAGCCUGCAUUUCUGUGAGUUGGGAAUAGAUUAGAGUAUUUAGACAGCUUUCAUGUCCAGUCCCUGCCAGUCUUGCUGGACAUAAAAGAAACUUCAGAAAAUUCUCCAGAUCUACUACAGACCCCGAGUGAGAUCCAGGGAGGAGAAGCAUUACUUGCUGAAGGGAGGAAGCUGGUGGAGUAGCAGAGAGAAACUAAAGCCCUUCAGGAGCCGAAUGAGCAUGUAUAUUCAGGAGCCGAUGUCCAGGACCAAGGUGAACUGGGGUUGAAGACAUGCUCUGAACCGCAGGGUCUGUGUCUGUCCCCUUGUUUGCACAAAUGCAAACCGAGGCUUGAAGGGAACAGAAAAGAGGUGAAGUGCCUGCCAAUAAUAAGCCUAUGCUUCAGUGGAGAAGGCAAAUCAGUAAGAAAUUAUGGAAGGGACUGAGGAAUCACUUACAAAUGCGAAUGCUUUUUACAAGAAAGAAAAUGUUCACCGUAAAAGAAUCGGCACUAAUCUACAAUUGUCAUAGAAUGGAAAAUAUAAUUUUGCAGGAUUAUAGAAUUUAAAGAUUUUUGGUUCUGCUCUGAUUUGGAUCACUGCAUAACAACUUCAAGAACUUGAGAGUUGGAGAAACCAUGCACACAAAAAAAACAUUAGAAUGAUUUUGGAUUAAACUCACCAGCUUCAGAAACGCCUAAUUAAAACUGAUACUAGAAUUAAAUAUUAGAAAGAUGGAAACAAUCUCUAUUCCUUCCUCAGAGAGUUAUAAUUUUGUUCAGAGAAGCAAACUGCCCAACCCUGGUGAUGCAUAAGAUAUUCAUGGAAAUUAGGGGUGACCGUGUGACCUGUUUAGCCAAUGAGAUCUGAACAGACCUUUGCUGAGAAAGAUGGAAUGGCUGGAUCUACACCAGAUAUCUUGUGACCAUGAGACAAACAUGAAGAUGAAAAUCAACACCCUGAGAUACCUAAUCAGAAAGGAGGAAAGAUCCUAACUGCAAAUAAACCAACAUUACCAACAAUAAAACUGGAUAUUUUUUCAUGCAAGAAAAA